rnacentral:snRNA from 1 species
GGAGAUGGUUAAGGGGGGCUAGCUACGACACCUGUCACUUCAUUGAUUACCAGAGUUGAUUUGGGUGAUCUAGAUGCUCAGGUGAGUGUCCUCUUCCUACCACAUUAUUCCAAAUGCAUCCCUCCUGAAAUGUCAUGUUCCAUGGAAGAGAGUGACCAUUUCAAAUAGAAGAAAUAUAUCAUUCUUCAAUUUU